CGCACAUUGCGCCCCCUGGUAUUCCGGGGGGCAUGCCUGUUCGAGCGUCAUUUCACCACUCAAGCCUCGCUUGGUGUUGGGCGUCGGGGUCCACCCGCGCCCCAAUUUGCCCGGCCGGACCGCCCGAUUCUCAGCGUCGUGGUCUUUUGAUUCCGCUGACGAGGACGGAGGCGCCGCGCCGUCAAACCCCCCCCCCUCUCAAGGUUGACCUCGGAUCAGGUAGGGAUACCCGCUGAACUUAA
rnacentral:misc_RNA from 1 species